GAUGAACGCUGGCGGCGUGCCUAAUACAUGCAAGUCGAGCGAACGGACGAGAAGCUUGCGUCUCUGAUGUUAGCGGCGGACGGGUGAGUAACACGUGGAUAACCUACCUAUAAGACGGGGAUAACUUCGGGAAACCGGAGAUAAUACCGGAUAAUAUUUUGAACCGCAGGGUUCAAAAGUGAAAGACGGUCUUGCUGUCACUUAUAGAUGGAUCCGCGCUGCAUUAGCUAGUUGGUAAGGUAACGGCUUACCAAGGCAACGAUGCAUAGCCGACCUGAGAGGGUGAUCGGCCACACGGGAACUGAGACACGGUCCAGGCUCCUACGGGAGGCAGCAGUAGGGAAUCUUCCGCAAUGGGCGAAAGCCUGACGGAGCAACGCCGCGUGAGUGAUGAAGGUCUUCGGAUCGUAAAACUCUGUUAUUAGGGAAGAACAUAUGUGUAAGUAACUGUGCACAUCUUGACGGUACCUAAUCAGAAAGCCACGGCUAACUACGUG
rnacentral:rRNA from 1 species